UCUUUUUCCCCCGGAGCUUGCUCCACCGGAAAAAGAAGAGUGGCGAACGGGUGAGUAACACGUGGGUAACCUGCCCAUCAGAAGGGGAUAACACUUGGAAACAGGUGCUAAUACCGUAUAACAAUCGAAACCGCAUGGUUUUGAUUUGAAAGGCGCUUUCGGGUGUCGCUGAUGGAUGGACCCGCGGUGCAUUAGCUAGUUGGUGAGGUAACGGCUCACCAAGGCCACGAUGCAUAGCCGACCUGAGAGGGUGAUCGGCCACAUUGGGACUGAGACACGGCCCAAACUCCUACGGGAGGCAGCAGUAGGGAAUCUUCGGCAAUGGACGAAAGUCUGACCGAGCAACGCCGCGUGAGUGAAGAAGGUUUUCGGAUCGUAAAACUCUGUUGUUAGAGAAGAACAAGGAUGAGAGUAACUGUUCAUCCCUUGACGGUAUCUAACCAGAAAGCCACGGCUAACUACGUGCCAGCAGCCGCGGUAAUACGUAGGUGGCAAGCGUUGUCCGGAUUUAUUGGGCGUAAAGCGAGCGCAGGCGGUUUCUUAAGUCUGAUGUGAAAGCCCCCGGCUCAACCGGGGAGGGUCAUUGGAAACUGGGAGACUUGAGUGCAGAAGAGGAGAGUGGAAUUCCAUGUGUAGCGGUGAAAUGCGUAGAUAUAUGGAGGAACACCAGUGGCGAAGGCGGCUCUCUGGUCUGUAACUGACGCUGAGGCUCGAAAGCGUGGGGAGCAAACAGGGAUUAGAUACCCUGGUAGUCCACGCCGUAAACGAUGAGUGCUAAGUGUUGGAGGGUUUCCGCCCUUCAGUGCUGCAGCUAACGCAUUAAGCACUCCGCCUGGGG
rnacentral:rRNA from 1 species